GAUGAACGCUGGCGGCGUGCCUAACACAUGCAAGUCGAGCGAAUGGAUUAAGAGCUUGCUCUUAUGAAGUUAGCGGCGGACGGGUGAGUAACACGUGGGUAACCUGCCCAUAAGACUGGGAUAACUCCGGGAAACCGGGGCUAAUACCGGAUAACAUUUUGAACCGCAUGGUUCGAAAUUGAAAGGCGGCUUCGGCUGUCACUUAUGGAUGGACCCGCGUCGCAUUAGCUAGUUGGUGAGGUAACGGCUCACCAAGGCAACGAUGCGUAGCCGACCGCAGAGUGUGAUCGGACACAAUGGGACUGCGACACGGCCGAGAGUCCUACUGGAGGCAGCAGUAGGGACUCUUCCGCAAUGGACGAAAGUCUGACGGAGCAACGCCGCGUGAGUGAUGAAGUCUUUCGGGUCGUAAAACUCUGUUGUUAGGGAAGAACAAGUGCUAGUUGAAUAAGCUGGCACCUUGACGGUACCUAACCAGAAAGCCACGGCUAACUACGUGCCAGCCGCCGCAGUAA
rnacentral:rRNA from 1 species